rnacentral:lncRNA from 1 species
UGCAAAAUGGUUCCUGUAAUGACACUCUUUCAAGAUGGCCAGGCUUCUGGUGAGCAAUAGCUGUUAUUUUUUCCCAUGGUGCUGGAUCAUCCACAGCGGAGCUGACCAGGUUUACGUGCCCUGCAGAGCCACUUGGGGUAAAUCAGAUGAAGGACGGAGGAUGGAGGCAUUCUGCACUCGAGUUAAAAUCAAGCCAAGAAAUGAAUCUCUUGUUAGGAAUUUUGCCUGGUGAAUCAUGUUGAACUGAGAGCUGUCUGUGGUGAGCACAGGCAAUAUCCAAUCACUAGCUGUACUUCACCUCCUCACAGUUACACCCUGCUGUGUGAGGAAAGUGUCUCUCUUCCUCAGAAAACAAGAUCCAAGGUGCAAAACCCAUCAACUGGGGCGUCAUGGAAUAUCUUGGAAAAUUUUAGAGCUAGUAAUUUCCUUCUGCCAGGAAUAAUUUGGUUUAGUCUUUCUUUUUCUAAAUGUCCACAUCAGCAGUGGAAUAGCAAAACAUGAAUUGGACUGCCUAUGGACCGUGAUUUACUGUCACUCUUUCCGACCAGGCUUAGACUACAGGCAGGUACUAACCCAGAAGGCAGAAGUCUGGAGGCCUGAAAGAAUUACAGGACAAAAUACUGGCCCCUCACAGGAACUGAGCAAGACUUGAGUGUCGGAAGUCCAGACAUGUAUUACAUUUAUUCAUUAAACAAUGAUGUACUGAGUGGCUAUGUUGAACCAUUUGCUUCAUCACACAACUGGGACACAUUGGUGGUGGAAUGCACAAGAAUCCUUGUGAAAUGAAGUCUGCACAUUCUAAAAGCAGGAGACCAGCAAUUAACAAUACAUGUGAUAACAGAGUAAAUUCUGCAGUGUGUUGGAAGCUGAGAAAUUCUACAGGAAAAAAUAAGGGCUGUUCACAGUGGCUGAGGAGCCUUCUGGGGCAUUUCAGCAGCGUCCCUGGACACAGUGAAUCGACAGACUUCUUUUUGAAAAACUUCUAUAAAGAGCUAUUGCUGCAUCCAGCAGGAAGCCAUAGACACAACUAUUUUACAUCUGCGUGAUGAAACAAUGUAUUUAUCAAAAGCAACCUCUAAGUAGGUUGCCAUUAUCAAAGACAUCAGCAGCCCAUCUCCCUGGGAGACAGUGAAACCCUGCAUUUAUCUAAAUUAUCUCGGUAAUAUGACGGAGUGAUUGCUCACUAAUGGUCAGUAAUAGUUUUCUUUGUCAUUUUCCUAGUCAUUACCUCCUCAGAAUGAACUCCAGAAUAAACUGCUUGGAGUCUGUGACUAGAAUGCUAAGUUCCACUUUGUGUUUGUGGCUGGUUCUUUCAAAUGCAUGAACUGGGCUAACAUAGUUCUGACAUUUCCAUUUUGUGCAGAAGAAUGCCCUGCCUUAGGAAGUCUGAUGGAUGCAGG